rnacentral:rRNA from 1 species
AUUGAACGUUGGCGGCAGGCCUAAAGCAUGCAAGUCGAACGGUAACAGCGAGAGCUUGCUCUCGGCUGACAAGUGGCGAGCGGGUGAGUAACGCGUAGGAAUCUACCCAGUAGUGGGGGACAACCCGGGGAAACCCGGGCUAAUACCGCAUACGCUCUGCGGAGGAAAGCGGGGGAUCUUCGGACCUCGCGCUAUUGGAGGAGCCUGCGUCGGAUUAGCUAGUUGGUAGGGUAAAGGCCUACCAAGGCGACGAUCCGUAGCUGGUCUGAGAGGACGAUCAGCCACACUGGAACUGAGACACGGUCCAGACUCCUACGGGAGGCAGCAGUUAGGAAUCUUGGGCAAUGGGCGCAAGCCUGACCCAGCCAUGCCGCGUGUGUGAAGAAGGCCCUCGGGUUGUAAAGCACUUUCAGUGGUGAAGAAAAGCUCGAGGCUAAUACCCUCGGGUCUUGACGUUAGCUACAGAAGAAGCACCGGCUAACUCCGUGC